UACGUAAGGUCCGAGCGUUGUCCGGAAUCAUUGGGCGUAAAGGGUACGUAGGCGGAUAAGCAAGUUAGAAGUGAAAUCCUAUAGCUCAACUAUAGUAAGCUUUUAAAACUGUUCAUCUUGAGGUAUGGAAGGGAAAGUGGAAUUCCUAGUGUAGCGGUGAAAUGCGCAGAUAUUAGGAGGAAUACCGGUGGCGAAGGCGACUUUCUGGCCAUAAACUGACGCUGAGGUACGAAAGCGUGGGUAGCAAACAGG
rnacentral:rRNA from 1 species